UACGUAGGUGGUAAGCGUUGUCCGGAGUUAUUGGGCGUAAAGCGCGCGCAGGCGGUGCGGUAAGUCUCUGGUGAAAGCGCUCGGCUUAACUGGGCGAGGGCCGGGGAGACUGCCACGCUGGAGGGGAGCAGAGGCGAGUGGAAUUCCGGGUGUAGUGGUGAAAUGCGUAGAGAUCGGAAAGAACACCAACGGCGAAAGCACUCUGCUGGGCCGACACUGACACUGAGAGACGAAAGCUAGGGGAGCGAAUGGG
rnacentral:rRNA from 1 species